CCCCUGUCUGAGUCUGCUUUCAUUUCUCAGUAGGUGCUCCCUUUGUGCACAAACACUCUUUGAUAUGGUGCUUCUGCCAUAGCCUGGAUUGUUGAUGUUUGCAAGCAGAAUUCACUCUCCUUGUGAGGAAACAAAUCUCCCGUGCCUUUGCUGUCAGGAAGUGAAACUGCCUCAAUGUUCUUCCGAGCGUCCUGCCCUGAAUUUCUGAACAACUAGGAGUCAGUGGAGGACCUUCCCAAGCAUGUUCUAUGGUACCUGAGUGUUUGUUCUUCUCUCUGCUGUUCCACUAACCGUGUGCCACCCUCACUGAGCACGAUGGAGGUCCACAGUGCCUUACACAAGAAGUGUCUGCAUUUGUGUACGUGUCAUCACAUUUUUACAACUGCAUGUCACUAUGUUUGACAGCAUGUAUCAGUAUGUGCACCUGUUUAACUGUAUUUGUGCUUGCCUUUUUUUUGGCUUUGUGUGAGAUUCUGUGAACAUAUCCUUUUCCAUGCUUUUCCACGACAGAUGUGCAUCUUUUUUCUGGGAAUUGCAAAAGCUUUUAAGGAAAUGCUGUAGGAUCUCAAACAGUUCCUACAAUUUUUCACGUGGGGGAAAAGAGGGUUAUUCUGCGAGCGGCAUUGUUCCAGCACCAUAAAUUCAGCUGAUUAUCCACAAACCUUAAGGCUGCGUUUAGUCUCAUAAAGGGAGGAGAAAUAAUUCUUCAAUGUGGGACACAUCUGGUAGCCAAAGAUGCAAAAGGCUGAGGGUGGAAAUGCAAAAUUAUAUUGAAAAAAAAAACAACCAACAAUAACGUAACCCCCCAAAACAAAACAGAAGUGCAAGAGAAGCUGACAAACACAACCCACUGCAUCUCGUCUUCCAGUUGCAGCAAUUGU
rnacentral:lncRNA from 1 species